GGGAAUGUGGCUUAGUGGUAGAGUGCUUGCCUAGCAUGCAUGACGUCCUGGGUUCAAUUUCUCAAUCAGUGCCA
rnacentral:tRNA from 1 species